UACGUAGGGGGCGAGCGUUGUCCGGAUUUAUUGGGCGUAAAGAGCUCGUAGGCGGUUUGGUAAGUCGGGUGUGAAAUCUCCACGCUCAACGUGGAGGGGCCACUCGAUACUGCCAUGACUCGAGUCCGGUAGAGGAGUGUGGAAUUCCCGGUGUAGCGGUGAAAUGCGCAGAUAUCGAGAGGAACACCGGUGGCGAAGGCGGCCUUCUGGACAGUGACUGACGCUGAGACGCGAAAGCGUGGGGAGCAAACAGG
rnacentral:rRNA from 1 species